rnacentral:misc_RNA from 1 species
AGGAACUUCACUGAAAACUAUAAUUAGCUCAAAUGGCAAAAAGGCUUGUACAAAUGAAGUGCUCCAAAUGUCAAAAAUUAUGUUUAAAAUUGACCAAAUAUAUGUCACUCUUACAGAAACAAACGGUGCGCAUUUCAAUGAACCAACACAACCAAGAAAAAAAAGAGAUAUCACGCUCGCCGUUUACUCAAUCUCCAAGAGUUUGGCUCAUGAUAUCUAUCGUAAAGAGGUUCAAUACGUUCCUGU